AAGAUAAGCAUUACAUCCUUUCUGAUUGCUUCCAAGUGAGUGGUAUCUCCAUAUGACUAAGAAUGAAUGGUCUGUCUGGCUCAAUGAGUUGACAGAACAUCCAGACACCAGCAGGUAAACAUAUUGAUUCAUUUUCCAGAUUAGGACCUAAAUAUGUUGGAAUGGAUUGGGGAGCAAUGGUUUAGGGUAAAUUAUAAGCAAACUAGGUGUAAAGUAAUUAUUAAGAAAGGCUGGAUUGGUGAAGAAAUUUGUGGCUGCAAUGAGAGAUGUAUGUGUUCUGUUGAUAUAAAUAAGAGAACUUCAAUUUUUUCUUACCUUUACGGGUUUGAUAAUGCUAGUCUUAGUUUGGUUGAUGUGGCUUGCAUGUAUCUUGUUAAUAAAUUGUUGAAGCAUGAAUGGCUAUAUAGGUUACAAUGUAGCUUAGGCAGGAAGAACAUGAAUAGACAAUUAUAUCUGAUUAUCUUUAAUUGAUGAUUAUCUUUGAAAUUUGCUUGGCCUUGAUUUGUAUAGCUUAGACUUGCUUGAUUAACAAAAUUUUCUUAAGAUUAUCGAGGUGUCGCUCAUCGAUGUGAUAUUUAGAGACACGGAGGAGGCGCACUUGGACGUGGGUGAUGUAUACUACAGGGCAAAGCUGAUUCCGGCAACUGAAUCAUUCAUCCAGGCUUUGGAGGAAGCCACGAGUCCACCUGAUGAUGAAUUAGAGGAGUGUGCUAUUUGUAUGGAGAUGUUUGCACAGAAAAAUCAUAGCAGCAUUACUCAGUUGCCCUGCUCACACUAUUAACAUCAAGAUUGCAUUGUCCUGUGGCUCCACAUCAAUCAUGUCUGUCCUACUUGUUGACGCCCUAACGCUCCAUCUAGGGAAGGAAGCUAGCUAGCUGCUGCAUUUUUGGGCAUAACCAGCUGGAUUGGUGCUGCCACUAUGCUAUUUUCUCCUCUGACUACUACCUUGUACUAGAUGUCAUUGGUCCUGGGUUUUCAAACUUCAUGUAAAAGGUCUCUCAUUUGGUAUUAGAAUGGCUCUAAGUAAAUAAUUCCAAAUUGAAGUCAC